GAUGUGAGCACGUUUAGGGCCGGUUUUCUCCAUGACGAAAACCCCUCAAGGACGUUCUACCUUAUUAACUCUAAGGGAGGAACACAAAGCUCAUGCUCCAUACUGGGCGGUUUUUGAGGAGGUUAUUUAACAUAUUUUCAUGGUACAAAACGACAACAAGGCUAUUAAAAUAUAGCACAAGUUGGAGCAGCGUAUUGAAGCUCUUAUCCAGCUCACUCUACGGCAAUUAAGGAUAUGUGGGAGACAACAUGUGAUGGGCAGCACUUGUUCUUGUUAUAACAGCACUAUACAUUAAAAUAACUUGUUAUUUUAAUCAUAUAGGAACACCAAGUGAUCAGCCCCAUGCUGGACGGUUUUUAAGGGAUUCUUUGAACACAAAUCCAGCACAUAACACGACCAUGUGUGUUGAUAAAGAAUGGAGAACGUUUUGGAAGCUUAUGGAGCAUUAAAGGAACACCAAAGAGUAUGCCCAUGAUGCACGGUUAAUGGAGCAUUAUUUUAAACACAUUUCCAGCACGUUCCAGCAUUUAAAGGAUUAAGAAUGGCUCACCCACCUAUUCAACAAUUCACGGCAGAAUAUGAGCAUUUGGGGAGAAUGAAUUUGGUUGGAAAUUCACCACCAGCCUUUUUCCUUGAUUAAACUAUUAUCUCCACUUGGGAAAAGAUGAAGACAAAUCCACGUGAGCUUUAUAUUGCAAAGCAUACAAGCCAAAGCACUUAAGGGAACAGCCCAUGUGCGUGAAAAGGAGGCACUAGACAUCCCAUGUGCGUGAAACACUCCAACAGCUCAUGUAUUAUUUAAUCAGCCAUGACUAGACCAUCACUCACAAAGAAGGCCACUACACGCCAAAUCACACUUGAAGACAACCAUGUGCGUGAAACACUCCAACAGCCCAUGUGCUCACUUGUCUCCACUUUGUUUAAUCUCCACUAGAUAUCUUUUAAUGAGAUUCGGCCAACACACUCCACCAACCAUAUGACCGAAAAUCAUGCAAGAAUUUGAGCUGAAAUUAUGUCUAAAGGAGUCCACGUCAACAAGCACCAAGAGGCCAUGCAAAUUGAAACAAUCAGCCAUGCAUUUUAUACCAUACGUCCAUGCAUGUUAUAAUUUUAGCCUUUGUAUUUCUAGUCUUAUAAAUAGCUUCAUUUUGCAUUGUAAUGAAUAGACUUUGUUUUAAUGAAAUUGUGAGAGUUUUCUCUAA